rnacentral:rRNA from 1 species
UACGGAGGGUGCGAGCGUUAUCCGGAUUCACUGGGUUUAAAGGGUGCGUAGGUGGGAAUGUAAGUCAGUGGUGAAAAUCUCUGAGCUUAACUCAGAAACUGCCAUUGAUACUAUGUUUCUUGAAUUUUUCUGGAGGUCAGCGGAAUAUGUCAUGUAGCGGUGAAAUGCUUAGAUAUGACAUAGAACACCAAUUGCGAAGGCAGCUGGCUACAGGGAUAUUGACACUGAGGCACGAAAGCGUGGGGAUCAAACAGG